CGGGGCGUAGCGUAGUCUGGAUAGCGCGCGUGCUUUGGGAGCACGAGGUCGGCAGUUCAAAUCUGCCCGCCCCGACCA
rnacentral:tRNA from 1 species